rnacentral:tRNA from 1 species
UCUUAUAUAGUUUAAUUAAAACAAUACAUUUUCAUUGUAUAAUUAAUAUUUUUAUUUAUAAGUU